AGUCGUAACAAGGUCUCCGUUGGUGAACCAGCGGAGGGAUCAUUACCGAGUUUACAACUCCCAAACCCCUGUGAACAUACCACUUGUUGCCUCGGCGGAUCAGCCCGCUCCCGGUAAAACGGGACGGCCCGCCAGAGGACCCCUAAACUCUGUUUCUAUAUGUAACUUCUGAGUAAAACCAUAAAUAAAUCAAAACUUUCAACAACGGAUCUCUUGGUUCUGGCAUCGAUGAAGAACGCAGCAAAAUGCGAUAAGUAAUGUGAAUUGCAGAAUUCAGUGAAUCAUCGAAUCUUUGAACGCACAUUGCGCCCGCCAGUAUUCUGGCGGGCAUGCCUGUUCGAGCGUCAUUUCAACCCUCAAGCACAGCUUGGUGUUGGGACUCGCGUUAAUUCGCGUUCCUCAAAUUGAUUGGCGGUCACGUCGAGCUUCCAUAGCGUAGUAGUAAAACCCUCGUUACUGGUAAUCGUCGCGGCCACGCCGUUAAACCCCAACUUCUGAAUGUUGACCUCGGAUCAGGUAGGAAUACCCGCUGAACUUAAGCAUAUCAAUAAGCGGAGGA
rnacentral:misc_RNA from 1 species